rnacentral:rRNA from 1 species
UACGUAGGGUGCGAGCGUUGUCCGGAAUUAUUGGGCGUAAAGGGCUCGUAGGCGGUUUGUCGCGCCGGGAGUGAAAACACUGGGCUUAACUCAGUGCUUGCUUCCGAUACGGGCAGACUAGAGGUAUGCAGGGGAGAACGGAAUUCCUGGUGUAGCGGUGAAAUGCGCAGAUAUCAGGAGGAACACCGGUGGCGAAGGCGGUUCUCUGGGCAUUACCUGACGCUGAGGAGCGAAAGUGUGGGGAGCGAACAGG